GGCGCGGUGAAUAUGCCCCUGCUCCUUGCACACACCGCCCGUCAAACCAUCUUAGUUGGGGGUGGGUGAGGCUACCUUUAAUUGGGGUAUUCGAGCCUGCCUUCGACAAGGAGGGUUAAGUCGUAACAAGGUACCUGUAGGGGAACCUGCAGGUGGAUCACCUCCUAAG
rnacentral:rRNA from 1 species